rnacentral:rRNA from 1 species
UUGUCCUACGGGGCGCAGCAGUGGGGAAUAUUGCACAAUGGGGGAAACCCUGAUGCAGCGACGUCGCGUGAAGGAAGAAGGCCUUCGGGUUGUAAACUUCUGUCUUCAGGGACGAUAAUGACGGUACCUGAGGAGGAAGCUCCGGCUAACUACGUGCCAGCAGCCGCGGUAAUACGUAGGGAGCGAGCGUUGUCCGGAAUUACCGGGUGUAAAGGGAGCGUAGGCGGGAU